GUCUACCACCAUACCACUCUGAACGUGCCCGAUCUCAUCUGAUCUCGGAAGCUAAGCAGGGUCAGGUCUGGUUAAUACUUGGAUGGGAGACCCACUGGCAGUACCAGGUUCCAUAGGCU
rnacentral:rRNA from 1 species